AUUGAACGCUGGCGGCAGGCCUAACACAUGCAAGUCGAGCGGAUGAAGGGAGCUUGCUCCUGGAUUCAGCGGCGGACGGGUGAGUAAUGCCUAGGAAUCUGCCUGGUAGUGGGGGAUAACGUCCGGAAACGGGCGCUAAUACCGCAUACGGCCUGAGGGAGAAAGUGGGGGAUCUUCGGACCUCACGCUAUCAGAUGAGCCUAGGUCGGAUUAGCUAGUUGGUGGGGUAAAGGCCUACCAAGGCGACGAUCCGUAACUGGUCUGAGAGGAUGAUCAGUCACACUGGAACUGAGACACGGUCCAGACUCCUACGGUAGGCAGCAGUGGGGAAUAUUAGACGAUGGGCGAAAGCCUGAUCCAGCCAUGCCGCGUGUGUGAAGAAGGUCUUCGGAUUGUAAAGCACUUUAAGUUGGGAGGAAGGGCAGUAAGUUAAUACCUUGCUGUUUUGACGUUACCAACAGAAUAAGCACCGGCUAACUUCGUG
rnacentral:rRNA from 1 species